GUCUCGUUGGUGUAGUUGGUUAUCACGUCGGUCUCAUAUAAAAAUGAUCGCGUCUGACGCGAAUGUGACAUCUGGAGGUCGCCAGUUCGAUCCUGGCACGGGACA